AGUGAACGCUGGCGGUAGGCCUAACACAUGCAAGUCGAACGGCAGCACAGUAAGAGCUUGCUCUUACGGGUGGCGAGUGGCGGACGGGUGGGGAAUACAUCGGAAUCUACUUUUUCGUGGGGGAUAACGUAGGGAAACUUACGCUAAUACCGCAUACGACCUACGGGUGAAAGCAGGGGAUCUUCGGACCUUGCGCGAUUGAAUGAGCCGAUGUCGGAUUAGCUAGUUGGCGGGGUAAAGGCCCACCAAGGCGACGAUCCGUAGCUGGUCUGAGAGGAUGAUCAGCCACACUGGAACUGAGACACGGUCCAGACUCCUACGGGAGGCAGCAGUGGGGAAUAUUGGACAAUGGGCGCAAGCCUGAUCCAGCCAUACCGCGUGGGAGAAGAAGGCCUUCGGGUUGUAAAGCCCUUUUGUUGGGAAAGAAAAGCAGCAGGUUAAUACCCCGCUGUUCUGACGGUACCCAAAGAAUAAGCACCGGCUAACUUCGUG
rnacentral:rRNA from 1 species